UUCGAACAUCGACAAGUCGAACGCACAUUGCUGGCCCGAAACCCUGGCGUUUCGGGUCACGUACAUCCGAGGGUCG
rnacentral:rRNA from 1 species